CUAGCUGUGUGGGAGCUGAGGAGAGCAAACUGUUGGCAGCUGCCAUGGUGGUCCCAGCGACUCAACGAUGACAUCCAUCAGGCUUUGAGCAGACUAAAGAGGCUGAUUUUUACCGUUAGCAUCCAGUGCAAGGAUAUCUGCAGCAUGCAGAAUCUCCACCGUCAGUCUUUGCUCCGGAGCAUCAUAGUAGCACUUCACACUGAUCCGACCAUAACAGAAUCAUGUUUUUCAAGAGUCCAGAAGAAGGCAGACUUUCAAUCAGAGGAAAAACAACAGAAGACAGGGUGUUGCGCUGUCCAAUCAAUACACCUCUGUGCACCUUAGGGCUAAUAUGAAAGUGUCAGCCUGGAUCAUCCGCAGGAGCAGCUCCCACAUGCUUUGGAGAACUCUACAAGGCAGCAGACACAAUGAGACACCCACAUGUUUGUGUUUACUGGCUCUUCUAAUAACACCCCAGUACCCUCACUUAGCCUCAUGUAUGUUUUCACAGAUAAUAGCUUGAUAAUGUUAAGUUGUCUGAGGGGUAUUAUUAUUAUGGCAAAGAUUACACAAUUACAGAAUCUUACUGGCUGAGCUGUCACAGUUUUCACCUGGUACUAUCACAAAAUGUAAUCUUAUUUAGAGAAGAGGAAACAGUGAGUGUGGUUAUGUAACUUGACAUAAGGAUAUGUCUGUUAUAAAGUUCCACAACAAUCAA